GCAAACUUGGUCAUUUAGAGGAAGUAAAAGUCGUAACAAGGUCUCCGUAGGUGAACCUGCGGAGGGAUCAGUAGAGAAAAAGAAACGUCCAUGACGUACCCGUGGAAGCGAGGGGAGUGAAUCGGCCCUUGGCCGAGGAAACGCAUUAGAGUAUGAAGUCUGAAUCUACAAAGAGAAAAAGAAAACUUUCAACAACGGAUCUCUUGGCUCUUGCAUCGAUGAAGAACGCAGC
rnacentral:misc_RNA from 1 species